rnacentral:tmRNA from 1 species
GGGGCUGACCGGUUUCGACGUGGGGACCGGAAGCCGGACGUGCGACCCGAGUUUCUCAGACUCGUUAAACGGGGAACCAACAGAAGCGCCGAUGGCGACUUCGCUCUCGCCGCCUGAUCAUUCACUGAUCUAGCCAAGAGAGACAUCGUGACCAGCAAUGGCGCACGGGGCCAGACCACUACAGCCCGGCAACAGAAGUAGGGGUUGACGGCGAGAAAGACCGCUGACGGUGGGAAAGACCACUGACGUUCCGGAAAGACGGAGCGGUGGGCGCAAGCCCAACUGACCCGGCAGCGAGCCAGCCGUCACGGCUCAGCCUCGGGAAUGGUCGUAGCGCGGUCGUCAACCGCCUCGCGGACGGGAGUUCGAUUCUCCCCAGCUCCACCA